GGCUAUGUAGCUCAGCUGGUUAGAGCACAGCACUCAUAAUGCUGGGGUCCCCUGUUCAAAUCAGGGCAUAGCCACCA
rnacentral:tRNA from 1 species